UACGGAGGGUGCAAGCGUUGUUCGGAAUCACUGGGCGUAAAGCGCGUGUAGGCGGUCUGCUAAGUCUGAUGUGAAAGCCCGGGGCUCACCCCCGGAAGUGCAUUGGAAACUGGCAGACUGGAGUCCCGGAGAGGAGGGUGGAAUUCCUGGUGUAGCGGUGAAAUGCGUAGAUAUCAGGAGCAACACCCGUGGCGAAGGCGGCCCUCUGGACGGUGACUGCCGCUGAGAUGCGAAAGCGUGGGGAGCAAACAGG
rnacentral:rRNA from 1 species